GUGGGGAAUUUUGCGCAAUGGACGAAAGUCUGACGCAGCAACGCCGCGUGGGUGAUGAAGGUCUUCGGAUUGUAAAACCCUGUCGUCAGGGACGAAGGUAGGGGCCUUAAUACGGUUUCUGCUUGACGGUACCUGGAGAGGAAGCCCCGGCUAACUCUGUGCCAGCAGCCGCGGUAAUACAGAGGGGGCAAGCGUUAUUCGGAAUUAUUGGGCGUAAAGGGCGCGUAGGCGGUUUUGUAAGUAGGAUGUGUAAUCCCCGAGCUCAACUUGGGAACUGCAUCCUAGACUGCAAGGCUAGAGUGCUGGAGAGGGUGGUAGAAUUCCACGUGUAGCGGUGAAAUGCGUAGAGAUGUGGAGGAAUACCAGUGGCGAAGGCGGCCACCUGGACAGUAACUGACGCUGAGGCGCGAAAGUGUGGGGAGCAAACAGGAUUAGAUACCCCAGUAGUCC
rnacentral:rRNA from 1 species